CAUAGUGUUUGAUGAAAUUUGACUAUAGAAUUUUUUUUCUAUACUGCUAUCGUGCUACUUCGUCAAUUCAGGGUGUGUAGGGGAUGUUGUCCUGGGUCUGUAGAGGAUGCGGUGCGUGGCUGCUUGUGUGUAUGCAUAUAUGUUAAUUGGUGGCUGGUGUGUGUGUGUGUGUGUGUGUGUGUGUGUGUGUGUGCAGGGUGCAAACAGCGACAGCGAGUAGGCGGCAAGUAUACUGCGUCGAGAAACGAUACAGGGGCAUGAAGCAAGCGAGCAGGUGUGCGCGGCGACCUGCUACUGCACCAAUAGUAGCCUUGACGGAGCACCGAGGCCGGCUCGACAGGGCAUGCCGCCCGCCGGUAGACGCCUGGUUGUGUGAGUCGGAGAUGAACCCUGCGUCGUCGCCUCUGCAGCCUGGACAGAGCUCCGCCGGUGUUGGGGAUGAAGCCUGCGUUUGUGAUGGUGAUGACGCUCUCCAUCUACUUUCUCCACUGGCUAUAAGGGAGUAAAGAUCACAUCGUGGAUGUGUUUUUCUUCAGAGAUGUGGCCCUGUCGUUGUUGGUUGUCGAAUUUGCGAUGUAAUCCGUCCCUAUACUCUCCCGCACAAUGAGCAGAACAGAGCAGCGGCUGCAAUUUACCGUUGAUUUCUUGGAGUGAUUCAAACCUAGGAAGCCUGCUACUUGUGCAAGCAACAGGGUAACAAGUUUCAGUUUUCUUACUGAUGCACCUCAAUUUGCAAGUUGUGCGAAUACUUUGUUUGCACUUUAGUGGGACUGAAAUUUUCCUGCUACCAUGUGUCAUGGUAGUAGGCUGCUGCGGCAAAAAACCGGUAAGCCCCCUAACGGAAGAAAAUUGAAAAAAGUCUCAUCCUGCUUACCAUGUUUUAUCUUAAAAUUUUGGCUUGAAUUUUUUUUCUGUAUAACCUAUAUCUCUGCAUGGUUACUUUCUCCACACAUGCUUUAGCUGCAGCAUUGGUCAAGUGGCUUGAACACAACUCACGUGAGUCAUCGCCAAAUGGCCCUUUUCUGAAAUUCAUUCUCUUAUGCACUGAGAGAGGAGUUACUCCAUGACAGUAUGUAUACAUACAGAUGCAAGCAAUGGAGAAACUCAUGCAGAUGAUGACUGAACAAUUUUUCAUGAAUUUUCCAACCUGAAUUGGUUACAGAGGUUGGGAAAAGAGGAAUCUAGGCUCUGAUGAACACAUGUUCUUUCGCAGGUGACUAACAGUUGGCACCUCCAUCUUUACAUUACAUCAGGCCAGCGCUACAAAGCCCAUAAACCAAUUCAACUAGACCAGGACUAUGUUUAUUAGUCCUCCAGUGUUUAUUGGAAUGAGAUGACACAUGGUAUGCCAGCUAACAAGCAACUGAAGCAAGAAGAUUUUUGUAAUUUCUUGGAAAGAAUGAGCCCCUGAACCCAGGAUGGCGAAGGAUCCAAUAUGUCAGGACCAAUGAGGGAAUUGCAGAGCUUCAUAUUCAGUUUAUUUUAGGUGCUUGCCUACUUCAAGUGUCUAGAUUACAGGAAACAUGUUUCUUCAAGUGUCUACUUCAAGCUUGCCCUUACCAUUUACCAGGUGGUGACUUGCCGGAGGAGCCGGUGGUGCUGCUGCGAUCUUCUCCAGGUGAUGGUCAGUGAUGCAAGCUAAAACCCGGGAUGGGAUAGCGGCUCCGGGCGACAAUCAGAGGCGAGGCAGCGCUGCAGACCAAGGACAAAGUGCUGCACCGGGGCGACGGCAUGGGGCGAGGAAGAAGCGGCGGAUGGGGCUGCGCAUGGGGGAGUUGGGGCGACGGCUUGGUUCAGUGCACGGGAUCGUAUUAACUCUGUUUUCUCCUAGGUACAUGCGCUGGUAUAGUUUCUCCGUGGGAUUACCAAACGAUUCUCUCUCCUCCUUGAUUAAGAUGUCACAUCAGUUUUUUGCUUACAUAGCAGGAUUAGCACCCGUCCAGGGUGGAGCACUGGGAGCAGCCUUAUAGAAGUAAUGCAAUAUAUUAUCUCUUAUGCCUACUUGAAAUACUGUUGUGGGUCUGUACUUUGCCUCUCAUAUUGUAUGCCUAUUCUCUUAACUGUAGUAAGGAUGAAGCAGGAAAGUGUGCUGGACCUUCUAACAUGGAUAUUGUAUAUGUACGAGCCACGGGCCACUAUUGUUUAUCGUAUGGAUUGUAAAUGUAGUGACACUGAAGUUUGUAACAUAUCCUUAAAUUUCUUUAUUGUAACAUUAUGUUAACUAAAAAUCUGGUAGCUGUGACCUUGAUAUUCCCUGUAGAGCCAGCAAAAAAUAGAAUAAAAAGUUUCAUUACAAUUGGUGAUUGAAUGUCAAAUGGCAGUGAUUUUAUAUCAAUGUGUGGGAGGUUGAUGAAAGAUUGCAUGCAGAGUAUACCAGUGAAAAACAUCAUCUAUUUAGAUGACCUAUUACCAGAGCAGAUAUACUAUAUUUCUAGCUGAAGUUAACAUUGCUAAAAUAUUUCACCGGGUGGCAACUUGAGGGCAAGAAACAUACAUAUAAGCCUAUUAUGAAAUGUCUGGAAAUAUUGAAGCUUCAGCACCGCGCUCCAGCAUCCGUGGAGGAGUUGCGCCGUUUUGGACGUGUUGGUCAACUUCUGCUGCUUGAGGGGUUGAUCACGAGCAUAGCAUAGGCCGACGGCGGGGAGGUGGUCUGUGUCGGGGAAGAGGGCGACGUUGGGGAGGAGGCCAAUGAUGUGGAAGAGGGUGAUGAAGGGAGGAGGACGGCGGUAGGAGAGGGAGGCAAUGGAGUGGCGGCGAGCUAAAUAGAGUGAGGUGGAGGGUUGGCGGUUCGGCGGUGGCGAGCUUGUGAGAAGGGAACAAUGGCGGCGUCAUGAAUAGCGCUUCGACGGGGAUCAUCAGAAGGGGAAUUCAGAACUAAGUUAUGCCACUUGGCGAUGGCAUUGCCGCCGUAAAUAUAUUGAGCUAUGUGAUUCAACUUCACAAAGCUAAGCUUCGACAACUUCACCAAAUCAUACUAUGAGAGGCCUCCGAUCCGCGUAGUUGGUGAAGCACGGAGUUGAAGGAGAUCCGAGCAAUCCCUGAAUUAAAAUUCUGCUCUUGGACAUCAACAUAUCAAACUGAAACAAGACUGAUUGAUGCACCUACCCUACCGGUGGUUGAAUAAAAUUUUGUAGGUCUUAGUGUCAUCUCAUGAUACUAUCCAUGCUUUCCAUCCUCAAAAAGCCAUUCGUUUAAGUCACCCGUAGCAACGCACGGGCACAGUUACUAGUACAUAUAUAUGCAUAGUUGGCCCGCAAAAUAACUGAUGUGCUAGCCCAUUGCACAACAGUAGCAUGUUCCUCAUCCUACAACAUUAGCAGAACUCUAACCCGUCACACAACAGCACAACUGAUUUGAGCACAUAUGCAAGAGUUGUGCUACGUUUGAUGAGAUAUCCAUAUCCUGAUUUGAGCACAAAAUGUUGCUCCGAUUUUCACCGCACCGUGCCGAAUGUUACCUCCUCGCCUUCUUUCUAGGUCUUCCAUGUCAUGUGAACAGUAAUACCACAUGAACGGUCAUUGGUAACGCACAAGCUUUCAAUAUUUGUUGCAGUAAAUGCAAGCAGCCCUUGGUAAUAUAAUGUCGCCGAACCAGUGUUUACGUGCGGUAAA